GGUUCCCAGUCUAGGGGUCUAAUUGGAGCUGUAGCCACUGGCCUACACCAGACCCACAGCAAUGCCAGAUCUGAGACGCGUCUGCAACCUACACCACAGCUCACAGCAAUGCCGGAUCCUUAACCCACUGAGCAAGGCCAGGGAUCAAACCCACAACCUCAUGGUUCCUAGUCGGAUUCGUUAACCACCGCACCACGACAGGAACUCCUGAUUUUCCUUUUAUUAUCAUUGUUUAUAUACAUUAUUUAGGCAGUAUACCAUGAUCUUCAGGAAGAUAGGUGGUUUCUUGGUUAAUAAUUCAGUAGGUAUAAAGGUGUGCUGUUCCCUGCUUUAAACACAGUAAGUAUCAUAUAGUAGAAAUUCAAUGAAGAGGAAGUAAUUGAUGCAGUUGGAGCCAUCCCAUGUUGUCUAGUUUAUGCCUUGGAUUCUGAGAUUCCUGAAGGUAGGGGCAAUGUCUUAUUCAUCUUUGUACCCUCGUUUCUAGCACAAGGGUCCACACAUUCUGGGUGAUCGAUACAUGUGUUGCUUUGAAUAAAACAUACUUGAUAUUUCCUAGUUCUCUUCCACCCCCUCUGAUUCUGCGCUGGGUCUAUAGGAAGUUCUCAAUAGAGCUCAGUAAAUCACUGUACUUAAUGAACUUGCAGAAGCUCUCUGGGAAGCCACAAAACUCAUCACCCAAGUAGCAUGCCAUUUGAUAGUUACAUAGACAGACCACAUUCAUUUUGCUGAUAUUCAAACAUACCCAAUUUAUGUUGCUUUAAUUUUACAAGUUGUGUUACUGACUAGGAUUCUUGGCCUUCCUUAAUGGAUAAAAAUCCAUAAGAGGCCAGACAAGAAAUUUAGUCAAGGCUUUAUCUGGGGCCCCUGCUACAGCAAAAGGGAACAAAAACAAGUAACAUGUUCCCUCUCUCACUCUGGAGGGCGGCUGAGCUGGUUUCUUAUAUGGGAUGAGGGUAGGGUCAGGUCCAGAGGUUCGGCCGGAAGCGUGUCUUAGAUGGUUUGCCCACCCCUUCGGUGAUGUUGUGUGCAAGGUACAUGCUUAGUACCCUGGUUUUGCUCCUGGUACCCUGUUAUUUGUUGUUGUUGUUGUUGUUUGUUCCCCUGGCCCUUCAGAAGUGGAAGUUGGGGUUUUGGUCUCUUUGUAUCUUAUUUAUCCAUAACUGUGCAUGAACAUAGUUGUUUUUAGUCCCCUAUUGCUUUGUUAUAUUUUGUUGCUUGAGAAGACUUUGUCUGGGUGUAAGCACUGCAGCAAAUGCCCCAUGUCCCAGGUCCCAGCCUGUCUCAGGUGGAAGACAGAGAGUCCAAAAUACACACCCAGAGUCACAAAUAAAACCGCCUUUAUAUGGCCUACCAUGGUCUUCAUGAUUGUCCUCCCUAAGGCCUCAUCUCCUGCUGCAACUCACUUGCCCUUCCCUACAUUCCAGCCACAGUAGCCUCUCCUGCAUCUGUGAACUUGUACGGACAAUUUCAGUGGCCUGCAGUGCCCUCGUGCUCCAUCUGCUAGACAGCAUCCUGCAAAACCUGACACAAGUUGCACAUCUUCUCUGAAAUAGCCACCCCAGUUUCCUAAGCAGAGUUAGACAGGCUCUCCUCUCCCCAUUCAUCAUGACGCUCAUGUCACACUUCACAGCACUUGUCCUAUAGCUUCAUAACCUUCUUUUUAAUAAAAUCCCAGCAAUGCCUGGCACACAGAAGAUGUUUAGUAAGAAUUUUCCAAAUUCAGUGAGUAGCCUGGAAAAGGAGGAAAGAACGAUUUUAGCUCAAUAAGAAAAAAACACAUGUAAACAAUGAAUAUAUUUUAAAACAAAUUAAUUUUUCCAAUGCCUUAUUUUAAUAAGUGUUUAUGGAUUUAAAAAUGAUAUAAAUAUAUAAUGUUUACCAAUAGAUAAAGGUCUUUAUUUAGGGGGGAAAAUCUUUACAAUUAGGAGGAAAAAACUUUACUUACUAGCAAAUUCCAUAUUUUGAAAUCUAAAACUGACUUUCCAGAAACAUUUUCUAGCCUGCUUAUGAAUAUUUUAACUAUGGCAAGGUAGAAACAAGAAAGCUAAAAAAAUAAAUAAAUAAAUAAAUAAAGCUAUGUAAAAGUGUUCCUUGGAGUAAAAAAAAAAAGAAUCCUUAUGUCAGCAAUUUACUUUUACUUCUGUACAUGUUUCAAGAAAAUUUCAAAACCACCCAAAGAAAAUUCAAGUCUCCAGUUAGUCCACAUUUUCUGAUUAUUCAAGCAUACUGUAAUUUCCAAGUGCCUAGUUCUAGUAAUUUAUCAGGGAUCUGAGGAUUACAAAUGCACACGCACCCACAAUCUUUCAUGAGUCAUCUUCAGCUCAGAGCACGGUAGCUGUGGGGAUAACACGUUUUUCCUGUCUUUGGCAUUUCAGUUCUCAACUUUAGAAAUCUGUCUGCAGUUGGAUUAAAUUUAAAUAUGAUGUCAAGUUUUCCACUACUUCAUGAGGAGAACAUGUCUCUCCUGAGUUUAAAUAAGUCUAAUUGUGUUUACUCUUGUGUUAAUUCGGGGAAUUCCUAGAUUCCUUUGCAGAGGGGGGGAAAUGGCAGCAUCCUACUGUGGAUGAUAAGGGGAGAAAACACUGAGUGACAUGUAGCAGUUAGCAGCAGCUUCUUCAUAAAUGGAUUAAGAUACGUCAAGGUAGGAAGAGCUGAAUUGGAGAUUUUAGGGAUGUUAUAGACAGCAUUUUCAGUGAGGCAGUCAUUUUAGUGGGCACUGACUUCUUAGCCCUUAAAAUAUGGUGUAUACUAAUUAUUCAAAAAAUAUUUGUUGAAAAAAAAAUAAGUGUAUAAGUGGUACUGCUUCACCAGUAGAAAUUAGUAGAUGUGAAUGGCAGGAACUUCAAGAAAAGGCAGUUUUGGCACAAUGAUGGAAAAUGUCCUUUUGCUUUUUUUUUUUUUAACCAAAAAAUGCUUUUGCAUAGUAUGAAGAUGAACUAUUUAUCUUUUUCACACCAUGAAACAACCCUAGAAUUGCUGAAGAGGACUUAGUCCAAAGGUCAUUGCCCUCCUUGCCCACCUCUCUCCUGCUCAUAAAUAUCACCAUCCCCAAACAGCCACAUUGAACAAUUUUGUGAUCUUAGGAAAAUUCCUUAAAAUCACUGAAUCUUACUUCUCUUUUUGUGCCUGGGAAGAAAGGGUUCUUUCUCUCUUUUUGUGCUAUUUAUUUCUCCCCAUCCUCUCUCCAAUUGUGAGAUUUUUCUUUUUUAAGAUAAUGGCACAUCAACAUUAUGCUUUGACAGAUUAUUAAUAUAAUAGUGGAGAGUUUCAUUUAUACCACUGGUGAAUCAAUCUGAAGAAGGGAAGAUCCAGGCUAAGCCUGAUUGGGAAGCCUGAAAACAGAUAGUGAUGAUAAGAUGUUUGGGGGUCCUGGAGGGAAAAGAAAGGGGAAGAGGGAAGAUAGAGAAAGUAGGAUUAAUGAACAUCUAAUCAGAUGAUCUAAUGAAAACAAUAAAUAUGAUGCCUGCACUUGCUUGUGAAUAGUCAUAAGACUGGAUUCUUUCUGGUCCUGAGCAAUCCAGACAUUUCAGGUAUAAGGGUGGAGUUAUGCAAGGUGGAGAAAAAAGUACAAGCUCACUGUAAUAGAAAUUACCAACAGUUAUAAUACCUGGCUUUCUUCUCCUUCCUGAGAGUGUGGGAUGAUUUCCCAGAUUCCCUUGCAGGUCAUGUGACUGGCUGAGGUCAUGUGACUGAUUUUGGCCAAUGAGCUAUGACAAGUAUCACUUCCAGUGGGAGGCUUUUAGAAGCAAGGAGGCAUUCUCCAUACUUUCUCCUCCCCUGAUGCAACAAUCAAGUAAAACAUAUGUUGAUGUCAGAGCCAGAGUGGAAGCAUCCUGAUUCUCUGCAUAGCCACAUAAAAAGCUGUCUAGAAGAGCUGCCUGUCUCCCAUCAAUCUUGGUACAAAUAAGGACAACUUUUGCUAAGUAAAGCCAUUGAGAAUUUGUCACUGCAUUAUAGCCUAGCCCAUCUUAACUGGUUCAUUUAAACAACUGUGAGAAGGAUUAAAUAAGUAUUUUUCAAGUGUUCUGGAAACAGUAAAGUAUGCUAAAUGUUAGCUGUUAAUAAUUUUGAUAAAAGGUUUUCAUGUGGCAAGUUUUUAUUACCAGAUAUCUCUAUAAAUAAGUGCCAAAAAAUGUUCCAGACAAUGCUUUCUGUGGUUUUUCAUCAAGGAACUGUGUCACGGUUAGGGUCAAAACAUCUAUGAUGGCAUGAUAACAAAGAGUAUGCAUUUUUGGAGUCUAACAGACUCGUGUGCACACCUCACCUCUGUAAUUUAAUGGCUUGGGAUUUUAGAUAAACUAAUCAAACUUCCUAAGCUUUAGAUUUUUCAUCUGUAAGAUGUGAUGGCAGGAAGUUUGAGGGGAAAAAUGCCUUGGUUGAAUCACUGUGAGAAUGAAAAUAAAUACAUAUGUGUCCAGUAAAUUCCAGUGCCCUAUGCAUAGAUAAAAGUGCUAACAAUACCCAAUAAAUGUGCAAAGUCCAAUUAGCAUUUAAUGUUUUCUGAUUACUACUAAUCAGAGUGAAGGAUUAAAAAAAAUGAUAAAUGUAUCCAGUAUUGUAUACUCUUAUCCUGUGGAAUACAUAGAGAAGAAAAAAAGUGAGAAACCAAGUCAGUAGAAGGUUCUUGAGAAGAAGGUAGCUGUCUAUCCAUUGAUGUUCCAUUGGCCAAGUCCAAUGUUGAUAUUACCUAGUUAAGAAUGCAGACUGUAGAGAUUGGAUUAUAUUUAGACAAUUAAAACUAGCCCAGCUGAGUGAUGUGAGUAAAGGUUGUCCUCUAGGGCCAAGAUGUAGCUGUCAUCAAUCAUAAAUAGACAUGAGCCCAGGAUGGAGUGGAUCUUGGUAGAAAAUAUUUAUGUCGGUUACUAUGCACUUGGGUUUUGUGGGAUAUUCUAUUUUUCCAGCAGUUAAUGACGUGGUAUUUAAUGUGCUCAGGUUAGCACUUGAGUGAUUUCCCUCUCCAUUUUUUUCUUUUCUUUCUUCUUUCCUUUCUCCUUUUCUCUCUCCUUUCCUUCCUUAAAAUGACCUGUCCCACCCCCACCCCCAUAUUUGCCUACCUAUCCCCAGCUUUUGCUCCAUGAAAUGGCUAAUACUUUUAGAUUCCCUCCUUAUGUCUCCUUCCUGGCUUUGGAUU
rnacentral:lncRNA from 1 species